rnacentral:rRNA from 1 species
CCUACGGGUGGCAGCAGUGAGGAAUAUUGGUCAAUGGACGAGAGUCUGAACCAGCAAAGUAGCGUGAAGGAUGACUGCCCUAUGGGUUGUAAACUUUUUUUAUAUGGGAAUAAAAAGUGGCGUGAAUACCCUCUUGUACGUCCCCUAUGUAUAAGCAUCGGGUAACUUAGUGACAGCAGCCGCGGUAAUACGGAGGAUCCGUGCGUUAUACGGAUUGUUUGGGUUUAAAGGGAACGUAGGUGGGAUGUUAAGUCAGUUGUGAAAGUUUGUGGCUCAACCGUAAGAUUGCAGUUGAAACUGGCAGUCUUGAGUACAGUAGAGGUAAUCGGAAUUCCGGGUGUAGCGGUGAAAUGCGUAGAUAUAACGAAGAACACCAAUGGCGAAGGCAGAUCACUGGACUGUAACUGACGCUGAGGCUCGAAAGUGUGGGGAGCAAACAGGAUUAGAUACCCCGGUAGUC